rnacentral:lncRNA from 1 species
CGUUUUUUGAUCCAGCAAUUCAUAAGAUUAGAUUACAACUUGUCUUCUACAAAGUAAUUGGGUUAUGCUUGUUCUACACUUUAUAGAAGUUUCGGAGAUUUUUAAGAGAUUUUUUUCUUUGUAAUGUUUUUUAUGCUCUUGUCAUCAUAAACAUUUUGAUAUUGCGCCUUGCCUGGUGGUGAUUUUGAAAUGGCUUCCCUUUGUAAGAGAAUUGGUGAAAUAAUCAAGGCUGGAGUCUCGGAAGGGCUCCUUUUGCCAGUACCAUGAAAUGAGUAUUUGGAAAGGAAUACAACUGAGCUUCGAGAUUUGGCAUAAUUUUUAUGCCAUAGGCCUUUGGUUGGGAAGCAUUUCCUUUCACGUACUAAGGUUUGGUUUUGAUAUCAAAUGAUUACAGGUCAAGUGUUGAUGUAAUUUCAUUUUUUAAAAAAACAAGUUCGUGAUUAUUUAGUAAUUAACUGGUUAGUUUGUUAGUAUUCUGGUGUCGUCUUAUUUUUUAAAUUGAUUUUAGAAGUUGAAACGUAUGUUCCGUUUUGAGGAGUCCAUUCAGGUAAUUUGAUGGUUUCUCGUGAUUAUUUACACUUAUAUUUUUAUUAAGCAACUGCAGGAAACUUUUGUCUGACAACAUAGUAUUCCAAUGAAAUAGAUUAACUUUUUUUUUAAAAAAAAAAAGUUAAUAUUCUAAUAUUAAGAACUUGCGCUUCUUUUUGAGAAUGUUAGAUACUUUUAAUUGAAUUGAAUGUUCUCUGGACUUGUAUCUGUGUUUUGAGUCAUGAUUUUAUCCAGAAAGGCAGAAACUUUAUUUCAAUUUUCAGCUCUUUUAUGUGAUUAUUCCUGUUUCUCUCCUUUUGAUUGAGAGAGAAUAUUGAGUCGUUAUGAUUUUAUCCAGAAACCUUAUUUCAGCUCCUUUAUGUGGUAAUACCUGUGUUGGUCCUUUUCAUUGAGAGAGAAUAUUAUUUCUCUGGUUUUGGUGCACAGGCAGAUUGAUAUGUAGUAGCAUUGGAAACUAACUGAAUAUAAUUUGAAAAAAAAAUCUUUUUGUUAUGCAUUUCUGUCUUUCAAGGAAAACAAGUUCGAAAUUCAUAGUGUUGCAGUGGUAUCCUGGGUUGAAGCAUGUCUCAUCGCAAGUUUGAACACCCCCGACAUGGCUCUUUGGGAUUUCUUCCAAGAAAGAGAGCCUCGCGCCACAGAGGAAAAGGUUUCUAAUACUUGUUUGAAUCUCAUUAUUGCUGAAGUUGUUCAUAAUGUUGCAUGAUAUGCAUUUUGAUUUAUGCAUUGAUCAUUUUCAUUAUCAAAAUUUGAUGUUUCCUAAAGAGAUUAUUGUUUAGUUUUGAUCAUACUAUGGUGUUUUUCUAGUAUUAGCUAGGUGCUCAACAUUUCAUGUUCUCUUUGGGCUUUUUUGGACGUGAAAAUAGGGUCUUUUUAAAGGAAAUUUAAUGUAUAGUUUAUCCUUUUGUAUCUCAUUUCUUCCUUGGCAUGAUGAAGAUCAGCACCUUUUGGACCUGCUUACUUGUAGAAAAUUGGAGCAGCUUUGGGGAAAAUUGUUCUAAGUAAAUUGGAAAAUGGAGUUGAGUGCAUAUGGUCCAAUUUUCCAAAUUGGAAAUUGAAAACUUAGUUUUUCAAGUUUCCAAAACUUAACUAAGAUUUUGAAAACAGCUUUGUGUUGUUUUCCCCUUUUUUCCUUUAAAAUAAAACUUCUGUUUUCCACUGGUUCUCUUUAUAAUAAAAGUUUCUGUUUUCAACUGUUUUUCUUUAUAAAUAAAAUUAUUCUAAAACUUUGUUGUAACUGAAUUGGAAAAAAAUAUCUAUUUGCAGUAAUGAAAAUUAAUUAUUUUAUUAUAAAAUAAAUGGAUAACACAUUUUAAAAUUAAAUGUAAAAUGUAUUUGUGCUGAUUCAUUUUUUUAAUUAUGAAUGGAUAAAGUAUUUUAUAAAAAAAAUAAAAUAGAAAACUAUUUUCUAUAAUUGACAAUUUUACUCAUUUGCCAUGAUUUCCAUGUUUCCUUUGUUUUCUUUAUAUAAUGAAGUCUACAGUUUUCUUAGAAAAAGAAAAAAACUGUUUUUUGGAAGUAAAUGGGCCCUUGAUAUUUCACUAUUAACCUCCUUUCUGUGCUGCAUGACUUUUGGGUUGAUGGCCUAGCCUUGCUAGUUGGUUUGUUAUUGGAAAUGAAUUUUCAUGCUGCCUAACAGUUGUGGAUUUUAAUUCAAGAUUUGUUUUUUUCACCUAUGGUAUUUUUGCAGAGUAUUAGUAUUUGCAUUGAUCUGUGCUAGUGCCCUGAAAUUAAAUUAUGUCAAUAUUUGUUAAUGCCAUUUCAGAUUUUGAUUUCUUACUCUCUUGUGCAUUGUUUAUUAUGACUUGUGUUUUGCAAUUCUUAUAUUGGUUAGUAUUUGCAAUUGUUGACAUUUUACUCUCUUCUGUGAUGUUCACAGUGAAGGCAUUUCCAAAAGAUGAUCCAACAAAACCUUGCAGAUUGACUGCUUUUCUGGGUUACAAAGCAGGGAUGACCCACAUUGUCAGAGAAGUUGAAAAGCCAGGGUCAAGUAGGUCUCCUUUGUCUCUACGCUUGGUAUUUUAUUAAUCAAUGAGAGUAUGCUAUUAUUCUACAUGGUUUGCUAUCAAUAGUGGGAUAUCUUUUAGCAAUUAGUCACAACUCUACUUAUCUGGAUGACAUUGUGAUAUAUCUAUGGUAGCACAUUCAGUUUUCUUUUCUCGAUUUGUUUAAGUGUAUCAUAUGCAGAGUGCUAUACUGUCCUCGUUGUCUCAUUUGUGUUUUAAUUAUGUAAUUUCUGCACCCUUGACUUUCAGAGCUCCACAAGAAAGAAACAUGUGAAGCAGUUACUAUCGUAGAGACACCACCUAUGGUGGUGGUUGGGGUUGUGGGUUAUAUGAAAACACCACGUGGUCUCCGGUCACUUAACACUGUCUGGGCCCAGCAUUUGAGUGAGGAUGUGAAAAGGAGAUUCUACAAGAACUGGUGCAAGUCCAAGAAGAAGGCAUUCACCAAGUACUCUAAAAAGUUUGAAUCUGAAGAAGGGAAGAAAGAUAUUCAAGCUCAAUUGGAGAAACUAAAGAAGCAUUGUUCUGUCAUUCGAGUCUUGGCACACACACAGGUAAUUUCCCUAGUGCAUUCAGUUCUGUAUUUGUUAAUGAGGUAUCUUUAGCCAACAAUUUAUUGGAACCUUAUGAUUCACUGCUGGAUUUCUGAUUCUUGGAGAGAUUCAUGGUUUUGGUCUUUCGAAAAUGACAUGUAGUGCUCUUCUUUAUUCCUUAUUCUUCACCUUUGUUGCAUGAUUGACCCUGCAGAUCAGAAAGAUGAAAGGGUUGAAGCAGAAGAAGGCCCAUCUGAUGGAGAUUCAGGUAAAUGGGGGGGAUGUUGCCAAGAAGGUCGACUUUGCCUACAGUUUCUUUGAGAAGCAGAUACCCAUUGAUGCUGUUUUCCAAAAGGAUGAGAUGAUUGAUAUUAUUGGUGUGACCAAGGGGAAGGGCUAUGAAGGUGUGGUUACUCGUUGGGGUGUCACCCGACUGCCCCGCAAGACCCAUCGUGGUCUUAGGAAGGUUGCAUGUAUUGGUGCUUGGCAUCCAGCUAGGGUGUCAUUUACUGUUGCUAGGGCUGGGCAGAAUGGUUACCAUCACCGUACUGAGAUGAACAAGAAAAUCUAUAAGCUUGGGAAGUCUGGCCAAGAGUCGCAUACUGCAAUUACUGAAUAUGACAGGUUAACAUUCCUAAUGGUUCCNNNNNNNNNNNNNNNNNNNNNNNNNNNNNNNNNNNNNNNNNNNNNNNNNNNNNNNNNNNNNNNNNNNNNNNNNNNNNNNNNNNNNNNNNNNNNNNNNNNNNNNNNNNNNNNNNNNNNNNNNNNNNNNNNNNNNNNNNNNNNNNNNNNNNNNNNNNNNNNNNNNNNNNNNNNNNNNNNNNNNNNNNNNNNNNNNNNNNNNNNNNNNNNNNNNNNNNNNNNNNNNNNNNNNNNNNNNNNGAUUAUCUGAUGAUAAAAGGAUGCUGCGUGGGACCAAAGAAGCGAGUUGUGACCUUGAGACAAUCACUGUUGAACCAGACAUCUAGGGUUGCUUUGGAGGAGAUUAAGCUCAAGUUUAUUGAUACAUCCUCCAAGUUUGGCCAUGGUAGAUUCCAGACAACACAGGAGAAAGCAAAGUUCUAUGGUAGGGUCAAGGCUUGAGCUUUAGUUAAGCAAGGGAAAGGAUAGAUGAACAUCAGAACUAGUUUACCUUUGUUAUGAACCUGUUUGGAUGAGUUUCGAGUUUUUAACAUACUGUUCUUAUAGCACAAAUUAUAAGAACUUUUCUAGAUAGUGAAAAGUCUUAAUUCAUUUUAUAGCACAAAUUGUGAUUCUUUGCUUGCGAAUCUAAUGAUGAACAACUUAUUAAAAGAAUCUAGAGAUUAUACAUCCAAAAAAAAAUCCAAGUGGUUCAAUUAAUUUACAAAAAGUCAGCCCAAUUUUGAGUAUUGGACUGGACUAAAGAGGGGUCUAGUGGGUUUUCUUUAUUCUAAGCCCAUAUAUUCCUUUCCAUGGCUACUGGAGCCCUAACCCUAAUCCCAAUUAACCAUCCAACGGAUGAUAAUACCCAAUGGACGCUAAUCGCAGCCGUUGAACCUAAUUGGAGAACAAUAUCAAACGCCUAGCUAAACCUGUUUUGCUCUUAGCGGCGCACAGCACAUCAAGUAAUCUUCGCAUCUGGAGGUAAUGACAUACUGUUGAUGUGAUUCUAGCUCAUUGAAUCUAUGUGGGUUGAUUUGGUUUACGUUUUUUGAUCCAGCAAUUCAUAAGAUUAGAUUACAACUUGUCUUCUACAAAGUAAUUGGGUUAUGCUUGUUCUACACUUUAUAGAAGUUUCAGAGAUUUUUAAGAGUUUUUUUUCUUUGUAAUGUUUUUUAUGCUCGUCAUCAUAAACAUUUUGAUAUUGCGCCUUGCCUGUGAUUUUGAAAUGGCUUACCUUUAUAAGAGAAUUGGUGAAAUAAUCAAGGGCUCCUUUUGCCAGUACCAUGAAAUGAGUAUUUGGAAAGGAAUACAACUGAGCUUCGAGAUUUGGCAUAAUUUUUAUGCCAUAGGCCUUUGGUUGG